rnacentral:rRNA from 1 species
UACGGAGGGUGCAAGCGUUGCUCGGAAUUAUUGGGCGUAAAGGGCAAGUAGGUGGUCUCAUUUGUCAGGGGUGAAAGCCUUGGGCUUAACUCAAGAAGUGCCCCUGAAACGGUGGGACUCGAGUACUGGAGAGGGUCGUGGAAUUCCCGGUGUAGCGGUGAAAUGCGUAGAGAUCGGGAGGAACACCAGAGGCGAAGGCGGCGACCUGGACAGUCACUGACACUCAACUGCGAAAGCGUGGGGAGCAAACAGG